UACGAAGGGGGCUAGCGUUGUUCGGAAUUACUGGGCGUAAAGCGCGCGCAGGCGGCUCUUCAAGUCAGGGGUGAAAGCCCAGAGCUCAACUCUGGAACUGCCUUUGAGACUGAAGAGCUUGAGUACGGGAGAGGUGAGUGGAAUUCCCAGUGUAGAGGUGAAAUUCGUAGAUAUUGGGAAGAACACCGGUGGCGAAGGCGGGUCUCUGGGCCGUAACUGACGCUGAGGAGCGAAAGCGUGGGGAGCGAACAGG
rnacentral:rRNA from 1 species